rnacentral:lncRNA from 1 species
CUUGGAGGUGAUGAUGAGCUUUCUGAAUACACCAACCUCUUCUGGGGCCAUACCUCUGCUCAUGCCAUGAGCCUAGGCUGGACCUCUGGUCUCUUCCGUCUUGCUGACCAACCCUUAGGCUUCUUUAAGACCCAGUUCAGCAUCACUGACUUCAGGGGUCCCCUGCCCACCUGGCUGCCCAUGUUCCCAUGGAGCUUGUACCCAAGGCUGUUGUAUUCCUUACCAGCUAAUUGCACCUAGUAGCUGCUCAGCUGGCAUUGAUGAAAUUGAGUUUAUAGGUGAGGGCACCGAGGCUCAGAGCAGUUAAGGCUGGGGAGACGCCCAGCUGGUAUCCUUCUCCUGUCACUACCCCUCCUUGCCUCCCUGUUUGCUCUGGGGUCUCAGCAUCAUCCACAACCCACAUACCACUGUUCAGUUACCAAAGAUACCCCUGACUUGUCUCUGCCCAACCCUUCCUUCCUCAUCUUUUCUCCAUCAGCUUCACAACCUUGGACCAGCAAGGCCAUUGCAAUAAAAGCCGAGGUUGGGAAGAAUGAGGCUCAGAGACCACAGAGAUACUUUGACACAUGGAAAAAGGCAAGACUUCCUUCCCAGGAGAUUUAUCAUUCUUCAAAAAAAUGGGGUUCUCAAAGAUUCAAGGUAUUUGCUAUUCAUGCUAUUCAUGCAAACACACUUGUGCCUUGGUGUUUUAUGGUAAGGAUUCUGGGAACCAUAGUGAAGACCAGAAUCUCCAUUCCUGACACCCGUGUACUGGAAGCCACUCCCCUCGCCCCUCCCAAAUUAAAUCCACUUGGAGCCUCAGAAUGGGACAUUUCUUGGAAUAAGGAUUUCAGCAGACAUAAUUAGAGUAAGGGAGAGAUGACCUCAUCCUGGAGGAGGGUGGACCCUUAGUCCAAUGACAAGUGUCCUUAUGGGAGACAGAAAGGAGAAGACACAUAGACACAGGGGAGAAGGUCCUGUGAAGACAAAGGCAGAAGCUGCAAUGAUGGGUUUACAAGCCAAGGAAUGCCAGGGGUUUCUGGCAUCACAGAAUCUAGGAGAGUAUCUGGAAUGGACUUUUUUUUUUCCCAAGGUCAUUGCUUACUUUUAUUUAUUUAGUGAUUUUUAUUUUUUUUCAUUACAGUUGGUUUUCAGUGGUCUGUCAAUUCUCUACUAUACAGCAAAGUGACCCAGUCACACAUACAUAUAUACAUUUUUUAUCACAUUAUCUUCUAUCAUGUUCCAUCACAAGUGAGUAUAUAUAGUUCCUAGUGCUAUACAGCAGGAUCUCAUUGCUUAUCCAUUCCAAAGGCAAUAGUUUGCAUCUGGAAUGGACUUUCAGAGCUUCCAGAAGGAACCAAUCCUGCCAACACCCUGAUUUCAGACAUCUGGCCUCUAGAACUGUUGAGAACUGUUACUUCAAGCCACCCAAUUGUGGUCAUUUGUCACCUAGGCACCUCUAGUAAGUGAAUGAAAUGGAGCAGUGUAAAAAUACAAGGGAAGCCCAGCAGGGCCAUCGGGACCAGGAAGUCGGGGGUCCUCACCCCUCGCCAUCACGUGUGGGUACCCUCUGCUUCUCUUCCUGGCACCUCUCAGCUCCUCUAUCACUCUGCUCUUCCAGCUGCCACCAGCCCGCCACAUUGCCCCUCCAGAGGUCCUCCCUUUGCUUAAGGCUCUGCUGCUGAGCUGUCCUGUGUCUAUCAGUCUGGGGUCUUUCCAUGUCUGUUACAUAUGCUAACCUGCCAACUCUCUCAUUAUAUUAAAAAUGUCCAAGAGAGGUGAGCUGAUGGUUGAGCUCACCACCAUCACCCCCCAAAGGGCAAAGCUUUCACCCCAGGCCAGCUCACAGGCAGCAGACCUUGGCCCUGAUCCUCCAGGCAUGGCCAGGGAGGUGGGCCAGGCAUUCCCAUCAGCACAGGGGGCCCUGGAAGGGCAGGACAGAUGCCUGGAAACAGUCCCAGGUUGGUGGCCCCUUCACUGCUGAGACUAAACUUCCUGCAGAAUUGAAGAAUAGGCAGUAGGAAGGCGAAAGGGAAGAAGCACUUUUUUUUUUUUUUUCCAAUAGAAGAAGGAAAGUGUCAUCAAUAGAAGCUGUUGAAAAGUCCAAAUUGCAACCUUCUUGCCUCCUUUUGAUGAGCUGCCUUGAUGAGCUGUUUAGAAGAGCUCAUUGCUCUGGGUCAGCGUGACAGCUGUUGAUGACAAGGGGUAGGUGGGGAGAGGUUAGGCAGGAGGAAUAUUCGGCCAGGGCCCUGGCCAUGAUGGAUAUGCACCAAGCUUGUGCACCCCAGGUCUUUGCAAAGGGUCCAUGACAAACAGCCCAUGGUGCAUUGGGCUGUUUUACUGUAAUUCACUCCCCAAAUGCUUCUGGUGUGCAGCCCUGUGCUGAAGACACUGCCCAGACAUCCUCUCAUUCACUUUCUCCCAAGCUCCAGAGAGUGGAUGUCAGGUUGAGCUUAUGUAGUUCAGGGAUUGCAGAUGUGAACACCCAAAGUCCCAGGACCAGUACGUGAUGGAGUCAGGAUUCAAACUUAGGUCAGAGGAGGCUAGAGACAUGGCUGAGCACAGUGUAUGGUCCUUGGGGGCAUGAAGGAGAGCUAUAAAGGAUGUUAUGAGGAAUCCAGAUCAGAUAAUAGUUUUCUAUGGAGGUUAAAUUUCCCGAGUUUAAUAACUAUACUAUGAAAAUGUAGGAGAAGUUUAAGACUAAUAGGAACAAUGUCCCCAGUGUACUCUUAAAUAGAUAAGGGAGGGGAUGCGUGGAGGGAGAGAGGGAGAGAAUGAGAAAGGGAGAAUAAUAAAGUGAAUGAGACAAAAUGUGGUGAACUAUGGGUUGAUUUGCAUCUCCUAGAAUUUUAUAUAAACGUUAUUAUGUUGAAUGUACUCCUUUUUGCUGGCUUCUCUCGUACAUAAUUUCUUUGAGAGCCAUCCAUGUUGUAGCAGGCAUCCAAAUUCAUUCCUUUUCAUAGCUAAGUAGUAUUUCAUCUAACGGAUAAACCAGUUUGUCUAUUCAUUCCCCUGCUGUUGGACACUGGUUGUUUUCAGUUUUGGGCAGUCAGGAAUCAAGCAGCCAUGAUUUGUGUCCCAGUUCUUUGGGUGGGCAUUGCUUUUGUUUCAACAGAAUGCCUAGAUCAUAUAUAUGGUAGGUGUGUGUUAACUGUUUAAGAAAUUGCCCAACUAUUUUCCAAAGCAGCUGUACCCCCCAGUAGUGCACGAGGCUUCCUGUUUCUCCACAUUCUUUCCUUGGUAUGGACUGACUUGGUAUUGCUGGUCUUUUCCAUUAGAGCCCUUCCAGUGGACCUGUAGUGAUGUCUCCUUGUGGUUUUCACUUGCAUUUUCCUAGUGACCAGUGGUGUUGCUCUUAUCCCCCUGCCAUUCCCUCUCCUGCUUUUCUGGGGGCACUGCGACCUUCUGGGGCAAGACCUCAGGGACUUGCCCCUACAGCCCAGAGGUGAACAGUCACGUCCCGAACAGAAAGCAUGCAAGUGGAUGGGCCCAGGAUGAAGACUGGAGGGCCACAUAAGAGCCUGGGGUGCUUUCAGGCCAAGGUAUUUGUCCCAUGGCUCUGACGAGCAGAACCCACCCUUCAGAUGGGGCACCCACCUGCUCAGCAGCCCAUGCUCGAGCUUUUCCACAGGCAGUCAGUACACAGGAUGCUUCAGGUCCUAACCCUCAGACGUGAUGUGUUUGCUCAACAACCCUUAAGUUCCUCCCCUGUGUUCAGUUCUGUGACCAGUAUAAGCCUUUGAUGGGUUUUGGUUAUUGGCAAUUAUCAGAGUAAAGUGAAAACUCUCAAGGAUAAUCUGCAAGGCCUUUCUUGAUCAAGUUCCUAAAUUUGGUCUUUCCUACCACAUCCUUCCACAUCCCUCCAGCCUACGCUCCACAUCUAACAAACACCCCAGUGUCCCAGACUUGCCAGCUCCUUCCUGCCUCCCUGCCUUAACCUUCCCUCCUGCUUCUCCCUCCCUUGGCCAGUGGAGACCUUCUCAGCCUGUCACAGCACCAAGCGUCCCUUGUGCCUCUCCUCAACCUCAAAGGAUGGUUUUUUCAGGACCAGCAUGGUCUCAACUGGAUCCAUGUACAGUUUAUGCGGGUCACGGGGAGUGGGGAGGGGGCUGUGAGCCGAAAGGCUGGAUGCUGUUACACACCCACUGCAGCACACAGAGGUUCCUCGUCAGCUGGGCCCGGCUGAAUUGAGUGCAUUUCUGCACCAUGCCUUCCCCCCCUGAUCGUGGGGACUGGGAUGACUCCCCACCGCCACCACUCCCACAUGUGGCUCACAAGUCACUCCAAUUGCCGGAGGUGGCACUCGCCAUGUUCUGAAAAGCUAAGUGCCUUCGCCCCCUUCGCCACCCUUACCUGGAACAGCCAUUUUUGUUGUGUGAACACAUGGCCCGGGAACUUAAACACUAAAACCAGUUAGUUCCUCAGGGGGUGUCAUCUUAACCAUGCCAAACUCAACAAGAUAUAAACUGGUCCUAGAAGCCUUCUCUUCCUCCUUCCUUCAUUUUUUUUUUUUUCUUUUUCUUGUUCCAGCAGCACUUAUCCAUCUGUGCUUCCACCACAGAGCUAUUCCCACUAGAAAUGCCGUGAAACCUUUCAAAUAAAAUAUUUAACGUGUG